ensembl:ncRNA Y48B6A.22 ncRNA
AGGCUUAGGCUUAGACUCAGGCUUAGGCUUAGGCUCAGGCUUAGGCUAAGGCGUAGGCAUAGGCUUAGG